GUGGGUUAAUUUAAGAUAUGAGAGCUAGUUAAGAUAGAAUACGUUUAAGUGAUUGGCCAAGUAGUGCUUUAGUUAAUACACUUUAUGUGUGAUUAUGUCAGGUCUGGGCAGCCAGGAAACUAACAAGUGGUCUCCGCCUACAAGCUUACCUGCCUCUUUUCCCUUGUUUUCUAUUAAUAGAAAACAGAGUACAUUUGUGUUCACAGAUAUGCCCCAGGCAAGCAAAACUCACCUUGAUGAACUCCAGAUAAAACAUCUGGAGGAGAUGUGCAUUGUCAUUGACAAGCAGGAUCAGAUUAUUGGAGCCGAAACCAAGAGGAACUGUCACCUAAUGGAAAACAUUGAGAAGGGCCUGUUACACUGAGGCUUCAGCGUCAUCCUCUUCAACAGAAAAAAACCAGCUCUUGGUCCAGCACAGAGCAGAUGCCAAGUACACGUUUCCCGGUGAGCUGCGCAGUUGAAGUCCGGGGAGCACUGGAUUCUAACUUAAGCUAUGGGAAACUGAGAGGAACGGCAGUGGACAAAACUAUCAGAGCACCUCCCCCAUAAGCCCCACUCCGACUGAAGAUACGGGGACAUUAAAUUACAAGCAUUUUGCAACUGGAAUUGAGUUGUGGAAUUUUAUAUUCUAGUAUUUGUCUAAUAGAACUGAUACUUAUAAGUCAGAAUUGAAGCUACUUUAUAUACUAUGGCCAGGAGGAAAAGUGCUUUUUUAUUGACUAAAAGGACACAUUCAAUAUAGUAGCAUGCUGUACAUUUUCCCCAGGACAUUUUACAGACUCCUGUUCUAGUGAAGUUUGUCAUGUGUUCAAGGGUCUGUUUAACAGUUAUAGUGUCACAUGACCGCUAUUAAUUCCAUCCAUCAAGAUGCUAUGACUCAGGGGUGGCUGCCAGGCUAACAUGGUUUCUGCCUGUGGAAAUGCCUCAAGUCUGGCCCACAGGACAGGCUGUGAAACAAAUCACUGUACUGAAGCUCAAGUGUUUCUCAUUUCCAUUCUCAAAAGAAAUCUUUCCCACUCCUGUAUGUCCCAACACACAGACCUGUUUAGCCUCAUGUCCUGUACACACGCUUACAACAUCUGUAGGUACCUGGGAUGCACAAUAUGCUGUAUAUACAGACAGAAGCAAAUAACUCAUACACUUAGAAACUUAAAACAUCUAAAACAAAAAGUAGGGCUCAUAACUAAUCCGUGGUUAGAAUGGCAUGUAUUACAGAAACUGAGCUCUAAUAUCCUCCCAUUGUUUGUAUUAAAAUAAAAUUCAAGCACUUAGUUUUGCUUCCUUUUUUUCCCUCCAUCUUUUUUUUCUUAUUUUCUCCCGAGACAGUUUUCCUGUGUAACAAUCCUAGCUGUCCUGGAACUAGCUCUUGUAGACCAGGCUGGCCUCGAACUCAAGAGAUCCACCUGCCUCCUGAGUGCUGGGAUUAAAGGCGUGGGCCACCACUGCCCAGCUUUCUCUCCAUCUCUUAAAAAUUGUCACCUGCCAUGUAUGGAAAUUGUCACUUUCCCGGUGGCAUCACAUUUCUCCUUCUGGAGCUCUGCUCACUUCUCACCAUGUCUAGGGCUCUACAGGCAACCACUGAGCCUCGUGAUUACAAGCAUAUGGUGUAUGAGGGUUAAUAUGGAAAACAAAGAACUUUGUUAGUUUUCAUUGGGUCUACAAAUUUUACAGGGACUAUCUGUGGAGCUGAUGAGCACGAUCAGUUAGUUACUUCCUGCUGUAGUUUUACCUCAGUCAUUGCUGAACCCCAGCACAAAAUGCCUGUCUUGUGCAUAUAAAAUAAUGAUGAAAAUCAAAGUUUAAUUCCCUUAGUAUAGAUCAAGGAGUAAAUUUAUGUGGUAAAUGUUAUUAUGGAUAUACUUAUUAAUAAUGACUAAAACUCAUAAUCUUUAUUAUGCAAAUUAUAUUAAAAGAUUAAGUCAUCUGGAAAUUUGGAAAAAUCUACCUGAUUUCAUUAUUUGCAUAAUGAACUUCUAUUCCAUUGCUUCUCAAACCCUUUGCUAUCUGUAGUUAUAUUAAUCUUUUUUUUUUUUCUAAAAUAGUCUCACUAUGUACCCUUGGCUGUCCUAGAACUCACUAUGUAGACCAGGCUAGCCUCCCAGAGAUCUCUGCACCCCUGCCUCCCUGCUGGGAUUAAAGAUGUGUGCCAUUAUGCCCAGUUUAGGCAAUUAAUUUUCUUGAAAAUUAAAAACAUCAAGUGGAAGUAUCCUAAUUCUUCAUUAAGUUGGGGUCGUCAUUCCCACAAUGAAUUCAGAGCUGAACAAAACUGCCUCAGCUGGAGUAGAGGGAUUCUGACAUUAGCAUGUUCUCUGACAUGUCCCUGUCCAGUUGCAAAGUUUAGCCUCAGCAGCUUUUUCCAGCUGGAAUUCCCAGAAUCUAGCCCAUCGCCUCUGACAUCCUGAGGUUGAUGGCAAAUCUUUAUUCUCCCUAAACAGCUUCUUCCCUGAAGUGUGGACAGCACUUACCUCACACAUUCCAUCCUAACAUGCAAAACACAAGAUAGCUGUGACUGCCAAGACCAUGUAAGCUAUGUUCCUUUGUAGUGAUAUUUCAUUCAUAUUUUACUAAAGACCAGGCAGUGGUGGUACAUGAUUUUAAUCCCAGCUCAGUCUCAUUCUGAGGAUUUGUGAAGGCAGGAUAGCCAUUUCGGUCAGAAGUAGAGGUAAGAGCCAGUGGCUGGGUACUUUGCUUUCCUGAUCUUCAGGUUGAACCCCAAUAUCUGUCUCUGGGUUUUUAUUAUUCAUGCCACAUGUCACUGGGUUCUGAUAAAGGUCUGAAUGGAAGCUGUGGCUCUGACAGGAAGCAGGCAUCUUGAAGACUGUCUUCUGUUGUCUGAACAGGGGGUGUAGUACCAGCUACACUAUGAUUCUUCUCAUUAAUGUUUUAGUACCUUUCAGGGCACUAAUCUUCUGUUUAAGCUCACUCCUAAGUUUCCCUUCUUUCUUUUAAGUGGAACUGUUCCUUAAUCCAGCAAUGGUUCAUGAAAGAUGUCAUUUAACUGCUGCAAAAACCGAGGCAUUUGUUUCCCUGAAAAAGUAUUUUUGAUCUAAGAACAAAGAAGCAAAGUCUUCUUUGUCUUUUUUCUUUGGCCAUCAUAGCAACUUUAAUUAAACCAAACAAUACUUAGGUAAUCAAAACUAAUUUUUUUUUCUGGAAGUUUAUUUAAUAAAAUGGUGGAAGUUACAAUCAUACAUUGAGCUGAAUGUCUAGAAAAUAAUUUAAGAGAGUAAUUUCAGUUCUCACACACUCCUAAAUGUGCUUCCUCAGAAAGGCUAGUAGCCUUCUGCCUACACCUUCCAGUGGAGAUGCUUUCUUCACAAAACAAUAGGCACUCUGGAUAACAAAGCAAAGUCGUUAAAAUUUAAAAAAUGGUGGGAAGGAGUCACACCACACAACUGGGUUCACAUGGGAGUUUUUUUGUUAGAGGAAAGAGAAGGGGCAGAAAAGGGGACAAAAAGGGAGCAGAGAGGAGGACAGAAAGGGGAGCAGAGACUGGUACCUGGGAACAAGAGUG